AGAAAUUUCUAGAAUUAGUCGAACAAUUUUGUGAAAAGUAUCUAAAGUAACCUACCAUUUUACUUGAUUCAAAGAGAACAUUUUGUAAAGAAGUCUGAAUAUUUAUAUUAAAAACUAAUUCAAUGUUAUAAUUAAUUUUUGAAAGAAUUUAAUGAGAAUUUGUGUAAGUCGUAGUUGAAUCUUUCUCGAAGCAUUAAACAUAAACAUAAACAUUUGAGACUAUAUAAAGCGACACAUCGCCAAGACGGACCCAUCAAUCGCUGAGAGUCACCGAACAGCCAACAUUAUAAUCAAUUAUGGAAGUAUCAUCAUCAACUCGUACAACAGUCGUUGCGGUCAGCGUACCGCGACAAUGGUUGUCAGCGUGUUCAAGGGAUGUAUUGGAGAGCAUCUUACGGCGAGCACUCCGAUCAUACAUCGUGGCUGAAAACGAUGUAUCAGUAAGAAUCGCGGGGAUAGAGGCGCAACUGGUUGAAUUCCAUUUCGGUGAAUACUGGUUCGUGCCAAAAAAUCUCUUCGACGACAAUGACGAUGACAACAACGACAACAACGACAACAACGAUAACACAGACAAGGAGAAUGAGAAUGACAACGACGACGACGACGACGACGUAAUUGUCCUAGAUGACAGCAACGAUAACAAAGACAAGGGAAACGAGAAGGACAACGACGAUGAUGACGAUGUAACCGUUCUAAAUUAAACAUGUAUCGUCAUCAACUGCGGUUCCAAUACCACGAUCGUGAUCAGAAUUAUCAUCAUCAUCAUCCCAUCAUAGUAUCAUCGGGAACGAGUAUCAGAAUUUUUUU